GUUAGUCUGUUUGGAAAAGGGGAGAGAUGUGACGAGACCAAUCUCGCCACAUUGCAUUGGAGAAGCCUGGUUGCUCGCCUGCUGCCUUUGGACUAUGGCCCCCUGUUAAAAGACAUCUUUUUUACCUGCAGAAAAGCUUCAGUCGUGCUUUUCUGCCUGGGUUUCAGUAGAUUUGUUUGAAUGUGUUACACCCCAGAUAGGAAUCCCAUGGAGCCCAUUCGUAUGAAACUGACUGUAAAGACUUUGGCUCCAUGGUGAUUAAACUGUAUUUGUGUGUGGUCCGAGCGCCAUUCACUUAAUAAUGUGCGCUCAGACCUGAGCUAUCUGGGGAUAUGUGAAAUGUCUGUGUUUUAUGUAUAAAUGUGACUUUAUGUAUUUUAAAGUGCUUUGUGUCUUUUUGCAACCAUGUGCUUAAUGGAGUCUUGUGUCUGUCCUGGGAGAUAAUUGAAUUACUUAUC